rnacentral:rRNA from 1 species
AACCUGCCCCAGGCUUUGGGAUAACCCUCGGAAACGGGGGCUAAUACCGAAUAUGACUUGGCCUCGCAUGAGGUUGGGUGGAAAGUUUUUCGGCUUGGGAUGGGCUCGCGGCCUAUCAGCUUGUUGGUGGGGUAAUGGCCUACCAAGGCGACGACGGGUAGCCGGCCUGAGAGGGCGACCGGCCACACUGGGACUGAGACACGGCCCAGACUCCUACGGGAGGCAGCAGUGGGGAAUAUUGCACAAUGGGCGGAAGCCUGAUGCAGCGACGCCGCGUGAGGGAUGACGGCCUUCGGGUUGUAAACCUCUUUCAGCAGGGACGAAGCGAGAGUGACGGUACCUGCAGAAGAAGCACCGGCCAACUACGUGCCAGCAGCCGCGGUAAGACGUAGGGUGCGAGCGUUGUCCGGAUUUAUUGGGCGUAAAGAGCUCGUAGGCGGCUUGUCGCGUCGACCGUGAAAACUUGGGGCUCAACCCCAAGCCUGCGGUCGAUACGGGCAGGCUAGAGUUCGGUAGGGGAGACUGGAAUUCCUGGUGUAGCGGUGAAAUGCGCAGAUAUCAGGAGGAACACCGGUGGCGAAGGCGGGUCUCUGGGCCGAUACUGACGCUGAGGAGCGAAAGCGUGGGGAGCGAACAGGAUUAGAUACCCUGGUAGUCCACGCUGUAAACGUUGGGCGCUAGGUGUGGGGGGCCUCUCCGGUUCCCUGUGCCGCAGAUAACGCACUAAGCGCCCCCCCCGGGGAGUACGGCCCCAAGGCUAAAACUCAAAGGAAUUGACGGGGGCCCCCACAAGCGGCGGAGCAUGCGGAUUAAUUUGAUGCAACGCGAAGAACCCUUCCCGGGUUUGACACGGCCGCAAAACUCGCAGAGAUGUGAGGUCUCUUUGGGGCGGUCACAGGUGGGGCAUGGCUGUCUUCAGCUCGUGUCUUGAGAUAUUGGGUUAAGUCCCGCACCGAGCGCACCCCUCCUUUGAUGUUGCCAGCGCGCUAUGGCGGGGGGUCAUCGAAGACUGCCGGGGUCAACUCGGAGGAAGGUGGGGAGGACGUCAAGUCAUCAUGCCCCCUAUGUCCACGGGUUCACGCAUGCUACAAUGGCCGGUACAAUGGGGUGCGAUACCGUGAGGUGGAGCGAAUCCCAAAAAACCGGUCUCAGUUCGGAUCGGGGUCUGCAACUCGACCCCGUGAAGUCGGAGUCGCUAGUAAUCGCAGAUCAGCAACGCUGCGGUGAAUACGUUCCCGGG